rnacentral:rRNA from 1 species
UACGGAGGGAGCUAGCGUUAUUCGGAAUUACUGGGCGUAAAGCGCACGUAGGCGGCUUUGUAAGUUAGAGGUGAAAGCCUGGAGCUCAACUCCAGAAUUGCCUUUAAGACUGCAUCGCUUGAAUCCAGGAGAGGUGAGUGGAAUUCCGAGUGUAGAGGUGAAAUUCGUAGAUAUUCGGAAGAACACCAGUGGCGAAGGCGGCUCACUGGACCGGCAUUGACGCUGAGGUGCGAAAGCGUGGGGAGCAAACAGGG